GAAAUGCGAUACGUGAUGUGAAUUGCAUACUCGUGAAUCAUCGAAUCUUUGAACGCAAAUGGCGCUCGGCCGCUUCGGUGUGCCGAGCAUGUCUGUUUGAGGGUCAGUUUCACCUGCUUUGUUUUUCUUUUCCCCCCCCACCUAAAAAGUUGGGUGGAGAAAAAGGAACAAGACGAUGCGUGUUCACUGUGUGGUGGGAGGGUUCGCUUGACGGACACGCCCCUGCGGUGAUCAUGUGAAACGGAUUUAUAAAACUUUUGAAACCAUCUCGGGCGAACGUUCCGGGGUCCCGACACUUACUUUUUUGCAACGGGACCAAACGGAAGCAUCACCGGGCGAUUUCUUCUGAAAAACUUUAUAAGAAUGACCUCAAAUCAGGCAAGAGCACCCGCUGAACUUAA
rnacentral:misc_RNA from 1 species